rnacentral:pre_miRNA from 1 species
AAUAAGUAUAGUUCUACACUAUUUACGUUUAACGUUUGACUAUUUAUUUUAUUUGAAUUUUUUUAUUAGUAUUUUUAUUGCUAUUAGAUGAUAAAACAUAAAUAGUGAUUUAUGUAUGACUAAAUUUUUUAAAUUUUUUCAUAAAUUUUUCAAAUAAGACGGGUUGGACACGGACAUCUAUGGCUAUAUGCAUG